rnacentral:rRNA from 1 species
CACCCGGUAAGCCUGAAUACUACCUUGCGACCGAUAGCGGACAAGUACCGUGAGGGAAAGGUGAAAAGUACCCCGGGAGGGGAGUGAAAUAGUACCUGAAACCGUGUGCUUACAAUCCGUCAGAGCCCUCGUUGUGGGGUGAUGGCGUGCCUUUUGAAGAAUGAGCCUGCGAGUCAGUGCUCGGUGGCGAGGUUAACCCGUCUGGGGGUAGCCGUAGCGAAAGCGAGUCCGAAUAGGGCGUUUGAGUCGCCGGGUCUGGACCCGAAGCGGAGUGAUCUACCCAUGGCCAGGGUGAAGCAGCAGUAAGAUGUUGUGGAGGCCCGAACCCACUUAGG